rnacentral:rRNA from 1 species
UACGGGGGGGGCAAGCGUUGUUCGGAAUUACUGGGCGUAAAGGGCGCGUAGGCGGUUGGAUAAGUCAGCUGUGAAAACCACGGGCUUAACUCGUGGCCUGCAGUUGAGACUGUCUGGCUUGAGUGUGGGAGAGGAGAGUGGAAUUCCUGGUGUAGCGGUGAAAUGCGUAGAUAUCUGGAGGAAUACCGGUGGCGAAGGCGGCAUCCUGGACCAUUACUGACGCUGAGGCGCGAAAGCUAGGGGAGCAAACGGG